CUAAUANUGCAGUAGAACGCUGAGAGAGGAGCUUGCUCUUCUUGGAUGAGUUGCGAACGGGUGAGUAACGCGUAGGUAACCUGCCUGGUAGCGGGGGAUAACUAUUGGAAACGAUAGCUAAUACCGCAUAAAAUUGAUUAUUGCAUGAUAAUUGAUUGAAAGAUGCAAUUGCAUCACUACCAGAUGGACCUGCGUUGUAUUAGCUAGUUGGUGAGGUAACGGCUCACCAAGGCGACGAUACAUAGCCGACCUGAGAGGGUGAUCGGCCACACUGGGACUGAGACACGGCCCAGACUCCUACGGGAGGCAGCAGUAGGGAAUCUUCGGCAAUGGGGGGAACCCUGACCGAGCAACGCCGCGUGAGUGAAGAAGGUUUUCGGAUCGUAAAGCUCUGUUGUAAGAGAAGAACGGGUGUGAGAGUGGAAAGUUCACACUGUGACGGUAUCUUACCAGAAAGGGACGGCUAACUACGUGCCAGCAGCCGCGGUAAUACGUAGGUCCCGAGCGUUGUCCGGAUUUAUUGGGCGUAAAGCGAGCGCAGGCGGUUAGAUAAGUCUGAAGUUAAAGGCUGUGGCUUAACCAUAGUAUGCUUUGGAAACUGUUUAACUUGAGUGCAGAAGGGGAGAGUGGAAUUCCAUGUGUAGCGGUGAAAUGCGUAGAUAUAUGGAGGAACACCGGUGGCGAAAGCGGCUCUCUGGUCUGUAACUGACGCUGAGGCUCGAAAGCGUGGGGAGCAAACAGGAUUAGAUAC
rnacentral:rRNA from 1 species